UUUGUAUCUAUAUGAUAAGUUGAAUUUUACACACAUUUUGAUUGGUUCUUAUCUAUGGUUUAUUAGAGGACAGGGACAAAGAUGAUGCCACAAGUAACAAAAUUUUGCUUUUUUAUGAUAUAAAACAAUUAUGUUCAGUUCAGUGACAGAUCACAGGAGAUGUUAAAAUGUAUCAGGAACAACAGUGGUACAAUUGCCUGGGCCUCAUGUGUCACUCUUUUGUUCUUACCAGAUUUUGAGGACAUCUUUGAUCUGUUACUAGACAUCUCUAUUCUUGCAGUAUCAUCGUCAAAUACCUCUACCAGUCAUGCUGUUACCUAAAACAGUUAAUGUCUUGCUUUUUUUUCCCAUCAAAAUGAGUUGUCUUCCAAGUGCAGUUUUACUUCUAAGGGUAUUUAAGAAGUUCAGAUGAAAUAAAUAGGAUGGCCAUUUUCAAAUAAGAAUAAAAGAGUGGUACAGGGUAAAUUGUCAACAAAUGGAUUGCUACUUCAGGAGUAACAAAUGAAGCAGAUAUAUUUUUUCCAAUUCCAAUUAUACAGAAGGGAAUGUUCAUUUGACUUGCAGAAACUUAAAAAAGAAUAAAGUCAAGCCUGUAACCUGACUGUGUGACUGACAGAUCUUUGAAUUACAGUUUGCUGCCAGACAAAUUGCCUCCUUAUGUUUCCUUGACAGUCCUAACUCCUGACAGUUUAUCUGAAAUGUUUGUCGGUCUUGAGUGAUGGUUUUUGGUGUGUGACAACUUCAGCAUUCUGGUGAGCUGUUUCAAUCCAUGAAGUGCCAGAAGUAGACUAUUUUGGAGUCAUAUCCGACACAAACAAAGGAAGCCACGCCUUAAGUCACAGUUAGACUACAACUUCACACAACAAGGUCGUGUGCACUUCUAAGUACCAGUCACAAACAGAUGGACAAUGAUUUAUUUGAAGAUUGCAGUAGUGGAUGAAUUGCUUGUAUUGUCUUCAGGAAUUGAAGUUUCAAGCUGAUAUGUUGAUAUACUGAUUUCAGAUUGACGAGAAGGAAAGCAAGAGUCCUGAGAAAAAUAUCAACCAAGGAGAGAAUGCAAAAUUUGGGGUCGAUCUGCCACCUAACCCCUUCUACACCCGUCUCUUAUAGAAAUUUUUAAGUAUUUGUAAAAUACAUGUGUACGUUGUGGUAACAACAUCUUGUAAUACGCAUGUGUCUAAAGACACACAUUUGGUUACACAAAAAGCAUGACUUUGAAAUAAAUGUUAGUACCACAAGGUUGACUAGGUUUAGAAUGACUUAAGAAAACCGUUUGCCAGAGGUGGGUGCG